rnacentral:lncRNA from 10 species
UGCGCCACCGUGCCUAGUUAAUUAUAAAACUUUUUUUAGAGAUGGAGUUUUGCUGUGUUUCCUAGGCUGGUCUCAAAUUCCUGUGCUCAAGUGAUAUGCCCACCUCAGGCUCCCAAAGUGCUGGGAUGACAGGCGCGAGCCACUGCACCUGGCCAAAAUAAAGCUUGACCUGAGUUGAUAUGAGGGUGAUGAGACUGAGUAAAAAGCCCAUAGGAUUCCAGCCUGUGUUCAUAAGAAGAAGCAUUUUAAUGGAGAGACUUUUUGUGAUGCGUGUACAGAGGACAUUAUUAGUGAAAUAACAGCAAACUUGCUAUUAAUGAGAUCUGCUCAAAAUCUCUAUGAGGUAGUGAAUGCCCCAUCAUGAAGAUUUUCAUGCAGAAUUGGGAUGACCUCUGUUCUUCAGACUCCAACAUACCAUCUUGAGAUAACCUCAGGCCCUGAAGUGUAUCGACAAGCAGAAUGAUCUCAGCCAAGUUGUAAAACUGUCUUUGAAAAGAAUAGCUGGAUGAAAAACAUUAGCAGCAACUGAAUCAAGAGAAAACGUGACUUCAAACUGAAAGGCACUCUCAUGGUAAAUACAUAGUAAAACCAUGUUCUGCAACUUCAUAUUUUCGUAAUGCUUUAAGCUACCCAAGGAGCCCAUGCAGAUAUGCAAAGCUACUCAUUGAGAAGCUCAGCUUAUCCCUACAUAUGCCAUCACCAGUUUUUCACUUAACGUUUUCUCCUCAACCCCUUUCUAUUUGGCUUCCAUUCUACUACUCACCAACCACCUUCAGUUUGCAAAAUCCUAUGCAGAUCUUACCUUAACUUUUCAGCAUCAUUCACUGAUAGGAAGACAACUCUGUUAUCUUUAGGAUUUCAGAUGCUUUUAGAAUCAAACCUGGAAAGGAUACAAAAAGCAGAAGCAAAACCAACAUUUGGGAGAAGAACAGAUUAAGACAGUAGCUUAUAUUGAAACAUCACUUCUCAUUUGCUGUUUGGACAAUGGUGAUGGAACUGCUGCUUUAUUGCCCACGGAGAAGCGAAGUGAAGAGUCUAAAGUGGGUCUUGCAGUUACACUGGACAAAAGAAGUUUGAAACUGAGGCUUGGUCCUGAAGAAAACAUAGAGAAGCCUGACAGAUUAUAUAUAUUCACAGCUUUGACUUAAAGGUUGCUGGUUGACCAAUAAGUAAUACAAGAAGAAAUGGUCUUUUCUGGAAUUGUCCUUCUUUCCAGGUAUCAAUGGUGAGCAGAAGAGGAGCAGGGAAUGAUGAAAGACCACACAUUCUCCAAAAGUCACUAAGCACUGUCUGCAGAUGGAACAUUCAUAUUUUCACAUAGUAUAAGUCAUAUGAUCUUUGAUCCUCCAUGUAUUGCUAUCCAGCCAUUUACUUUAGAAUGUCAGCCUUUAUACUGAUAUCACACACAUGUUGUAAAAUGUAGUGAAGAUAAACGGGUGAAGUUAAACUUACAAUGCUUUUGCUGUUAUCCAUAAAAAUGCAAUAGGUAUUGCAUAGAAUUAGUUACAAGCACAAAACUGUGAUACCCUAUAUGCCCCUGUUACAAGAAAGUUGUCAUUUUACAUUAUGGGUAUUUAUUCGAUAUUUUCAUAGUUUAAUUACUAACAAAGCAUUAAUAAUGCCAGAUUGUGCUGACAAACAUUGCAGUCUCUGAAUAGGAGAAAGAAUAUAUUCUUUGCACCAUUAUACAAUGAUUUAGAACUUUAAUAGUGUGCUGGGGAAAAAACAUGUAUCUGUAACCUGAAAUAGUUGUUUUACCUCCCUGAGUACAAAAUAUGUCACACAUUCUCUCCUAAAUGUAUUCUCUAUUUUUACCAGUCAUUUUGUUGCUAAAAUGUAAGAUAUGGGGAUGGGAUGUGGGUGAUUGUCUCCGUCCUUUUGGGCUUCUAUAACUAAAAUACCUUAGACUGGGUAAUUUAUAAACAACAGGAAUUUAUUUCUCACAGUUCUGGGGGCUGGAAAGUCCAAGAUCAAGGCUGUGGUGGGGUUUGGCUGGCGAGGGCUCCAUCCUUCUUGCUAUAUCUUCACAUGGUGGAAGGAGCAAACAAACUCCCCCAGCCCUCUUUUACAAGGGCACUAAUAUUAUUUGUGAGGGCUCCACUCUCAUGACUUAAUCACCUCCCCAAAGACCCUACUUCUUAAUACUAACACAUUGGGGAUUAAUCUUCAACAUAUGAAUUUUGGAGGAACACAAACAUUCAGACCAUAGCAAUGUUUAUUGGGGUGAAUGCUCAUUUAACUUUUCCCAGAACAAUCCCUGUUAAGUCUGCUAACCUCCUGUAGUUAAUGAUAAAAUUUCCUUCAUUUUCCGAAGUGUUCUUGUUUGGAUUAUAAAUUAUGUAAUUACCCUAAUGACAAUUAACUAGACAUUUUUUUUCUUACUGUAUAGCACCAGUAUGGGCAAUUGCAGUGGCUUUCAAACUUGACUACAACUCAGGGAGAAAUACAUUUUUCAUCAUAACGUAGUACACACACACACACACACACACACACACACACACGCACACACACACACACAUACACUAGAUAAAGCAAAAGCUUUAGGAAAUGGUACUUGGAUAUUUUCAAAUAUAUUUUAGUCUGUUUUUUAAUUAAAAAUCUCUAGUCAUGAUACAUUAAAUUGACUUAUUGACCCACAGCUUGAAAAAACACCAAUAUUUUGGAUGUGUUUUAAGGUCAUAGAACACGCCUUCUGAUUUUUUUCCUUCCCUAGGUAAUCCUAUGCAAGUUGCCAAUCUUCUCUAAACAACACUCUUCUUCAUCUAUAAAGUAAAUAUUAAUACCUACCUGAAGGUGGCAGAGAGAGUUAACUGAGAUAAUUUGGUUAAUGAGCCUGAAAUCUAGUCAACACUUACUAAAGGUAAUUUCUUCUCCUCUCUUCCGCUUCUAAACCAACAGGACACAGCUGAAGUUCACAGGUUUGUAAAAGUGAAAAAAUAUUUUUCUUAACCCCCUGACCUCUAAAGUUUGGUCAGAGUGUUUAGCCACUGAUAAAACAUCUUUAAGCACUGUUACUUCUAUGUUCAACUAAAAGAGUCACUUUUCAGUAAUUUCCGGUCAAGCCCAUCACAAUAGCACUUGCAGCUUCUCAAAAGAAAAGAAAGAAAGAGAGAGAAAGAAAGGAAGAAAGAGAAUUGAAGGAGGAAAGAAGGAAAAAAAUCAUGAUGAAGAUUUUAAAACAUGUCUUAUUGAGGGAUGGGAUGGUGAGGAAGUUGAUUAUAGUGAUGGAUGUGACAGACAGGGCCCGUACUUCUGUUUCUGUUCUCAAACUAACAGUUUUCACACAUAACCGUUUUCACACAUAACACAUUAGUAGAAUUUCUUUUGAAUAUUUGCCUUGGAAAUAAAACAAUAAUAAUAUAGCAUUUAUUAUAUUUAUUAUAUAUAGAGUGUGUGUGUGUGUGUGUCUGUGUGUGUGUGUAUCCCACAUGUCCACAUGAGAAAUAAUGAAAGAAGAUGGAGCCCAAGUAAGAGAGUCCUGAUGCCCCAUAAUGCAGAGAGACAAAGAAGUGAUGAAAUCAAGUACUCUACCUCUGGGCCGCCAGAAUCCAGGCCUGGUUCCAGAGUCCUCUGGUUUUCACCGUGUUGGGGUGGGGCCUCCCCGGGUGCACAGCUUUUCUGCACUGGUUGGCAUCUACUGAACCUUAGGUGAUCACAGCAGUGGUAAAGACAAGCCAGCUUCCGUCUUUCCAUAGUUUGUUCCCCUGUACUUCAGGAGGGAGGGGAGCCCCUCUAUGGAAUGCAAUACACACUAGGCAUCCUAUCACUAUGUAAGAACUCAUCUUGCUCCCUCAUUUCACAUUACAUCUUUGACUGUCUUGCUCAGUUGUUUCACCUUGGCUAGUUUUUACUCUUUGGCGAGUACUCUCACAACUCUCUUGUAGGCAGGAGCCCAUUUUCUUUUUCUGAGUACUCUGGACUCCUUGCAUGGUGCUUCCUGGGCAAGGGGUGCUCAACAAAUUGUGCUGAUAAUUAAGUCAUUCACUCAAAAUAUAUUUAUUAAGCACCUAGUGACCAAGACAGAAAAAAGUUACUAUUGACCUUCAAAUCACCAAAUCUAAUGAUCAUUCCUUACUGCUCAUCUUCCUCCACCAUUGCUACCUUAGAGGCCUCCCGUGCCUGCCUCCAUUUCCCAGACUUACUGCUUGAUUCUCCCUGGCAAGCUUUCCCUUCACCAUUUUUUUUUCAGCACUUGUAAGGAACUGAAUCUGUCCCCAAUAGUACACAGUUUGAGUUAGAGCCAGGACUAGAACUCAGGCCUGCAUAUAAUCAAAGAUCAGAAAACGGCCAAAUCUUGGUGUUUCUAUUCACAGGGAGGAAACCCAGAUGGGCCUACUCACAAUACAUGCUUCCAAAUGAAAGAACGUUUUUCCCCCUAAGGACAUUGUUAGGACACUGUCUAGCUAGAAGAUAUUCAGAGAAAAUUCACUCCUUUACCUGCCCUAGGGAAAUGGGAAAAUUCAAUGUUUGAGCCAUUUACCCAAAAGAGUAAUCCAUGCUGGAAAUUUUGCUGAAAGUAUUCUUUUAAAAGGCCCUUCUGUCUUUAUUAUGACGAUAAGACUGCUGAGUCUGCCCAAGCAUAUGAGGUUGCAAAGAAUAUUUCUUUUUAUUCAGACCUUGUAUUCUCUACAUGAUGAAAGGAUUCUUGGCACAUAGUUGGCAAUUACUAUCUAGGUUUUCUGCAUAACAUAGGUUUUUUAAACUAAGCUUUUAACUCAAUAGACAUCAGGCUCCAAUGAAAAUACAUGUGGCCUAACACGAGCAGAAAUAAACACAAUUCUAAUCAACUUAACUGUUGACAAAAGCAUGUGGUUUCAUUGCUUGCGGCCAAAGUUGUAAGAGUGGACUCUGAUUUCUUGCAGGAACACCCCUCAUUUAUGUGUGCAAAUAGGGUAAUUAAGUGUCCAAUUACCAGAUUUGCAUUGGCAAAUGGGGGCUUUGUGUGGGUAAAAUUCUCCAUGGUUUGGGACCAGCUGAAACUUAGGUCUUUUCUUUUUGGAUCAAUCCCCCAACAAUAACACGGGCAUGAUGAAGUUCCCUUCUUGUCCUGAUCUGAAGCCAUGGCUGAAGACUUCCCUUAUUUUGGUAAUUCAGUGAAGCGGAGAGCCAAAGUUAGGAUCUGGGGCCUUUUCUUCCUUACUGUCUACUCUGAAAAAUAAUUAAGCAUUUCAAGUAUUUUCAGACUGACUUUUUUUUUUUCCUGCUGGCUCUGUAGAAUUGAUUACUAAGGUGAAAUACUUGUAAAUAUUCCUUUUAAAAAUUUAACCAUAUGGAAGCAUUAAGUUGAAAGACACUUCAUAAAACAACUUUAUUCUUUUCU